GAACCGGAUUAGAUACCCUGGUAGUCCACGCCCUAAACGAUGUCUACUAGUUGUCGGGUCUUAAUUGACUUGGUAACGCAGCUAACGCGUGAAGUAGACCGCCUGGGGAGUACGGUCGCAAGAUUAAAACUCAAAGGAAUUGACGGGGACCCGCACAAGCGGUGGAUGAUGUGGAUUAAUUCGAUGCAACGCGAAAAACCUUACCUACCCUUGACAUGUACAGAAUCCCGAAGAGAUUUGGGAGUGUUCGAAAGAAAACUGUAACACAGGUGCUGCAUGGCUGUCGUCAGCUCGUGUCGUGAGAUGUUGGGUUAAGUCCCGCAACGAGCGCAACCCUUGUCAUUAGUUGCUACGAAAGGGCACUCUAAUGAGACUGCCGGUGACAAACCGGAGGAAGGUGGGGAUGACGCCAAGUCCUCAUGGCCCUUAUGGGUAGGGCUUCACACGUCAUACAAUGGUACAUACGGAGGGCCGCCAACCCGCGAGGGGGAGCUAAUCCCAGAAAGUGUAUCGUAGUCCGGAUUGUAGUCUGCAACUCGACUACAUGAAGUUGGAAUCGCUAGUAAUCGCGGAUCAGCAUGUCGCGGUGAAUACGUUCCCGGGUCUUGUACACACCGCCCGUCACACCAUGGGAGCGGGUUUUACCAGAAGUAGGUAGCCUAACCGUAAGGAGGGCGCUUACCACGGUAGGAUUCGUGACUGGGGUGAAGUCGUAACAAGGUAACCGUA
rnacentral:rRNA from 1 species